CUCUGUGCGGGCCCGCAAUAGAUGGACAGAUGGGUGGUCAAGUAGGUAUUUCACAGGUGGGAAUACAAUCGGCAAGCCCGCAGUCUGGUAAGUCUCCUCUGGUAAUUAAAUACUUCCAAACUCCCUUCCCUUCUUCACAGAUGCAGAAUUUGGGACGGAUGGAUAUCGGUCAGGUCCGUACACGGCAGAUACACAGCCUUGAGGUGGGGAUGUGUUUGGCAAGUGAGGGGUCCGGUAAGUCUCCUCUGGUAAUUAAAUACUUCCAAACUCCCUUCCCUUCUUCACAGAUGCAGAAUUUGGGACGGAUGGAUAUCGGUCAGGUCCGUACACGGCAGAUACACAGCCUUGAGGUGGGGAUGUGUUUGGCAAGUGAGGGGUCCGGUAAGUCUCCUCCGGUAAGUAUGUAAUUCCAGCCUUCCUUCCUUCUUCCACAGGUACGGAAUUUGAGGCGAAUGAUAUCAGUCAAGUACGUAUACGGCAGGUGCACGGUCUUCAGUAAGGUGGCUUCUCCUGACACCGUCAGAGUGGAUAUUCCAGACAAAGCGUGCCCCUCUCACGUUCGUGACAAAGGACAGUCACCUCUCUCAGCACAGGUGGGCCACAAGGAUGCAACAAACUCUAAGUCAACAGGCUGUGCAGGGUUUCUACUGAAACAGACAGAAUGGAUGCUUCAGACAAAGUAUACAGUUCACAUGCGUUGGAAGGAACGAACACUUCUCACAAUACGGAUGAAUAGCAGGGAUACAGCAGACUCGAAGUCAACAGGCUGAAUGGGGCUUCCUCAUACAGAUGAGUAGCAGGGAUACAGCAGGCUCGAAGUCAACAGGCUGAAUGGGGCUUCUUCUGAGACAGACAGAAUGGAUAUUUCAGGCAAGUAUACAGUUCACAUGCAUUGGAAGGAGCGAACACUUCUCACCAUACAGUUGAAUGGCAGGGAUACAGCAGACUCGAAGUCAACAGGCUGAAUGGGGCUUCUUCUGAGACAGACAGAAUGGAUGUUUCAGGCAAGUAUACAGUUCACAUGCAUUGGAAGGAACGAAUACUUCUCACAAUACAGGCGAAUAGCAGGGAUACAGCAGACUCGAAGUCAACAGGCUGAAUAUGGGCUUCUUCAUACAGUUGAAUGGCAGGGAUACAGCAGACUCGAAGUCAACAGGCUGAAUGGGGCUUCUUCUGAGACAGACAGAAUGGAUGUUUCAGGCAAGUAUACAAUUCACAUGUAUUGGAAGGAGCGAACACCUCUCACCAUACAGUUGAAUGGCAGGGAUACAGCAGACUCGAAGUCAACAGGCUGAAUGGGGCUUCUUCUGAGACAGACAGAAUGGAUGUUUCAGGCAAGUAUACAGUUCACAUGCAUUGGAAGGAGCGAACACCUCUCACCAUACAGUUGAAUGGCAGGGAUACAGCAGACUCGAAGUCAACAGGCUGAAUGGGGCUUCUUCUGAGACAGACAGAAUGGACGUUUCAGGCAAGUAUACAAUUCACAUGUAUUGGAAGGAGCGAACACCUCUCACCAUACAGUUGAAUGGCAGGGAUACAGCAGACUCGAAGUCAACAGGCUGAAUGGGGCUUCUUCUGAGACAGACAGAAUGGAUGUUUCAGGCAAGUAUACAAUUCACAUGUAUUGGAAGGAGCGGACACCUCUCACCAUACAGUCGAAUGGCAGGGAUACAGCAGACUCGAAGUCAACAGGUUGCACAGAGCUUUUCUGAGGCAGAUAGUAAAUAUUUCAACAGGGCAUCUCUUCUCCUAUUAGCACAACAGAGGGGUUAAUUCACAUCCCAGAUGAUAAAUCCUCAACAUCCAGACGGUUGGAACAAAUCAGUGUCGCAGGACUCUUACUAUUGACAGUCAGCCCUCAUGACACAUAGAGAGUGCAUGGCAAACAGGAAUGUAGCUUACACACACACACGACAAUUCCACUUCAAACAUAUAUUGUGGGGGAAAACAUCAAUUUUAGCCACUGCAAACUCACUUCACGACGUGCAAUUUAAAGCCAGCACUCACAUUCGGGUUUCUGUCCGAAGGGAAGGGGGAGGGCACAAUCCUCACU
rnacentral:lncRNA from 1 species